rnacentral:tRNA from 1 species
GCCUGGGUGGCUCAGUGGUUGAGCAUCUGCCUUUAGCUCAGGGCAUGAUCCCAGAGUCCUGGGUUCAAGUCCCACACCGGGCU